CUCUGUUGCUCUCGUUUCCUCAUAGAACCUUAGGUGUAUUCGUCCUCCUCUUCUUCAACCGCCAUCCCUUUCGCCUACGAUAACCAUCUCACCUCCAGCCCUUUUCCGUUAUGGUUUCCGCCGUUUUCCCAUUCUCGGCUCCUUUCUUUUCGUGUUUUCGCCUCCAUUAUUGAGUGGAUGUGUCACCGUAAGUUCUUAUUUUCUCUGCGUCAUCACCAGGACAAAAAUUGAUAUCACUCAAGCUUGAUUCGUUGUUGUUCAAGGUAAGAACUCAUUGUUCAGCUUGGAAGAUGAAGUAGGUUAUGUCAUUCAAUUUGAAUGCAAAAUUUCAUCGAACAUAUGGCGAAUGACUUAAUUUCUCAGUCUAGCAUUCUCUUGAGGUGUCUGUAAUUUUCAUGAAAUCAAGAGGGACGAUGGAGAAAGGACCUAACCUCCUAAGCACACAAGAUAUGGAUUAGAGAGAUAAGCAAUUGAAAUCCUAUAGAUGUGAUCAUGUGGUUUGAUUCUAUCUAUUUGGAGUUAUGGUAUAAUUUAUUAUUUAAAAAGUUUUUUUUUGUGAUGUUAAAAUUCAAUUGUCACUUACUAUUUGGUUCUUAUAAUUUUCUUCUAUUGAAUCUUGAUCCUUUUAACCCUUGUUAAGAUUUAUUUUGAUUGCUUUGCAUGAUUAUCGGUAAGUUUGAGAAAUUACCCUCUUUGAUAUGUUUCCAAUGGUAAUCUCCUCAAGUAGAAAGAUCAUCGAUUUCCCUUUCUAUCAAGAAGGGAUUGUUUGGACCUUAAAGCGAGGUUUGUAAUACAUUUGUGCAUCCACUAAAAAUGAAUAGAAACUUAAAUUUCCUGAGAACUUCAUGCUAAAUGUCUUUUAUUAGAAUUUCUCUCUCAAAAAUCAACUUUUUUUUAUUGAGCCUUUCUUAAGUUCUCUGAGAGUAUUCCCCUUUUGUGGUAUUCAAAAGUUUAUGCUAGAUGGCUUUUAUCAGAAUAUGUUUCUCAAAAGAUAAAAAAAAAUUCCAGUCUUUCUGAAGUUCUAAAGUUUGAUAACAGGAUAGAACAAAUCAUUAGCUAGCGAUAUUGCUCAUCAUUUAUAUUAAUAGAUCUUCUAAAGUGAAACGUUUUAAAAACCCAAUUCAAAUCCCUCUUUCUUGUGUUUUUCUCUACCUUCAACAUGUUGUUUUUCUUGCAAGAGUGAGAUCCGGAGAAUGUCACUCGGACCAUGCACAUAUAUAAACAUAAGAGUAAGUUAAAAAAAUAGAUAAGAGGUCCUAGAUGUAAGAUACAAUAUUUUUUUAAUCAGACUAUGUUUACUGGAGUAGAAGAAGAGAUGACUCGAAAGUUAUGAGAGAUAAUUUUUGGGUCCACCCAUAUUAAACCAAGUUGUUGAAUAUUUUUCCUAUUGUGUUAGUUAUGGACAAAACUUACAUGAAAAACAAAUAUAGACAACCUCUAUUUGAAGUAAUUGGCAUGACGUCAACCGAGUUGACAUUUGGUGUUGCAUUUGCUUAUAUGAAAUCUGAGCAGACAAAGAAAUUUUGUUGGGUGUUGGAUAAGCUGAAACAAUUGUUUUUCAAGAAAGAUUUUUGUCACAAGUGAUUUGGAAUGGUUGAGAUCUUACUUUGAUGAAAGCAAUUGAAGUUAUGGUUCCAAGGAUAGGUAAUUUUCCUUGUCGAUUUCACAUCAAAAAAAUGUUGGUGCAAAAUGCAAGCAAUAUAUGGUGAAUGACAUGCAAAAGGCGAUAGGCACGUUAUGGAUGGAAGUUAUAUGGGCUAGUGAUGAGGUAGAGUAUGAUCAACGAUUGCAACAACUUGAGCAGGGAUGUGUGGAUUAUUUAUUGAUUAUGGGAAAGACAUAUUGUUAACUCAUCAUAUGCAUAAAUUUGUUGAACCAUAGAUUAAUCAAGUGUUGUAUUUGUGUAACACCACGACUAAUAGGUGUACUAUUAGUAUUUGUAUAUUGUAUUCUUUUUUAUGUGUAGGUUUGAUUUUAUGAUUUCUUUUCAUUUUAGGGUUUAUUAUGUUCAUAAAAAAUUGAAGCAGAUGUGGGGAACAAUAUAGGUGACAUAGUCAAAUGUUGGAAGGCUAUGAAUAAUAAUUUGAAGUGACAAUUGGGUAAAAUUAUUGCUUCUUUUCAUAAACGUUUUUAUUAUUAUUUUUUUUUUAAUAAGCAAUUGAUUGAAAAGCUCGCACUAGGGGUGCAACCCUUACAAAAAGACACCAAGCAUUAAAGAUUACUUGUGUCGGAUAAAGGAAGUUUAAACCACUCAUAAUAGGUUGGUCUAAACUUAGUAUAUCCGCUAUACAACCAUCUCCAAGAAAGAAAAACA